CUAGGAGACAAAGCUGUGAUCAUGCACUGCACAUGCAUUCACGUAGUCAGCUUGCACAGCCAUGACGAAAGAUGACGGUCUGCACGCGACUGGACAUCGGCUGCUGGCAGGGAAGGCCUGUUGAGUAACACAUUUCCCAGGCCCUAAUCAUCACUUCAUUCAUCUUCUGGCGACAUCUGCAACGCUUGUGCGGCGGGUGACGCCGGAAAUGUACGGACUCCUCCGACUUUUACCGACAGCGGAAGGGAGGCAACUUGCGGCAUUAAGCAAUGCAGACGCAACACCUUGGCGAGUGACAAGGGCUACCGUUUUCCAGGCGACUGACUGGCAGCCGUCACAGUCUUAUUUCAGGCCAUUUUUCUCCGUAGAGCUUCAUCUACACAAUAGAGAGAGAGUGGGCCUGUAGAAGACAAGCCGUUCAUCAUGGAGGCCCUGUUGCGCCUGCGUCGCGAGGCAGAGGCGGUAGCAGCAGCGGCAGUGUCAGAGGCUGUCACCAGUAGUCCUGACAUCACAACACAAGGGAGUACCAAACAGUCAAAACUAGACGAGUACAAGGACAAGAUUAUCGAAGAAAUAAAAAAGUUGCCAAUAUGGGCUGACAUCCUGAUUGUGGCUGGGGCGCUGCUGGUGUUAUCAUGCUGCCUAUACUGUCUGUGCAAACGCUGUUGUCGCAAGCGAAAGAAGAAGGAGGGUAAAAAGGGACUGAAAGGUGCUGUAGAUUUGAAGAGUGUAACGUUGCUAGGAAACUCAUAUAAAGAGAAGGUUCAGCCUGAAUUAGAUGAACUUCCUGUCAAUAUGGAGGAUAACGAGGAUGCUGAAAGUACUAAGUCAGAAGUCAAGCUGGGCAAGUUGCAGUUUGCGUUAGACUACGACUUCCAGAAAGGCGAGCUGGCAGUGACUGUCAUCCAAGCAGCAGAUCUCCCAGGCAUGGAUAUGAGUGGCACAUCGGAUCCAUAUGUGAAAGUUUACCUGCUCCCUGACAAGAAGAAAAAGUAUGAGACCAAAGUACAUCGCAAGACACUUAACCCGGUCUUCAAUGAGACCUUCACUUUCAAGGCUCCAUACGCAGAGAUUGGAUCCAAGACACUUGUGUUUGCUGUCUAUGACUUUGAUCGCUUCUCAAAGCAUGACCAGAUUGGUCAGGUUCAGGUGCCUCUUAACUCCAUCGAUCUCGGACGUGUUUUGGAAGAGUGGCGUGACCUUACUUCUCCUGACAGCGAGUCAGAAAAGGAAAACAAACUGGGUGACAUUUGCUUCUCCUUGCGCUAUGUGCCAACAGCUGGCAAGCUGACUGUUGUCAUUCUGGAGGCAAAGAACCUUAAAAAGAUGGAUGUUGGUGGUCUCUCAGAUCCCUAUGUGAAAAUAGCUCUGUAUCAAGGAAACAAGCGUCUGAAGAAAAAGAAAACCACUAUAAAGAAACGCACUCUCAACCCCUACUUCAAUGAGUCAUUCACUUUUGAGGUUCCCUUUGAGCAGAUCCAGAUCCCUAUGUAAAGAUCUCUUUGAUGCUUAAUGGGAAGCGCGUUAAGAAGAAGAAGACAACUAUCAAGAAGUGCACCCUCAACCCUUACUAUAAUGAGUCCUUUACGUUCGAAGUGCCCUUCGAACAGAUACAGAAAGUCACACUGAUUAUCACAGUGGUGGAUUAUGACCGCAUCGGCACUUCGGAGCCAAUUGGCCGUGUACUGCUUGGCUGCAACUCCACAGGAACCGAGCUGCGACACUGGAGCGACAUGCUGGCAAACCCACGCC
rnacentral:misc_RNA from 1 species